GAUGAAGAACGCAGCGAAAUGCGAUAAGUAAUGCGAAUUGCAGAAUUCAGUGAGUCAUCGAAUCUUUGAACGCACAUUGCGCCCUGUGGUAUUCCGCAGGGCAUGCCUGUUCGAGCGUCAUUUCAACCCUCAAGCCUCGCUUGGUGUUGGGCCCUGCCCGCCGCGGCCGGCCCUAAAGAUAGUGGCGGCGCCGCCUGGCCCUCAGCGUAGUACAGCUCUCGCUCCAGGGUCCGGCGGCAGCCUGCCAGAACCCCCCAACUCUGUGGUUGACCUCGGAUCAGGUAGGGAUACCCGCUGAACUUAAGCAUAUCAUAAGCGGAGGA
rnacentral:misc_RNA from 1 species